AAAUGAUAGUGUGAGUGGGGCAUCCGUGUACUGUGGACACAUUCUUGUUUUUAAUUGCAUGUGUUUCAAAUGUUGAUUUUUAUGAGAUUUUCAUUAACCUGUAUUUUCAAGAGAAAACCUGAUAUUAUUUUACCUACUCUGCAUAUGUUUUUGAUGUUGAACUUCUUGAUAGUUAUUAUGUUAUUUAUGGCAUGUAAACAUUGUGGCAAUUUAUUUUUAUUGUCAAAGUUUAUCUAGAGAUUGGUAUAUUCUGUAUAAAGAUAUUAUGUUAUCAAUGCUAUUUUAAGUAUUAAAGAAUCUAUGAAUCAUCUACACAUGCUUCACUGUAGUACCAAUUGUGGAGGACUUGCAGUAGAUAAGGAUUUCUAACCAAAAAACUACAUAUUAAUAAAUUUCAUUUUUUCUAAUGUGAAAUUUCAUCAAUAAAAAACAAAAAUUUAUAUAUAAAUAAUUGUAAGUGUUCCAGACGGUUAUUUUUCACAGGGCGAAAUGUCUGCUCUUUUGGCACAGUUCAUAGUUGCAUUCAUUUGCAUAGUUUGACAACCCUGCAUACCAAGGUAUCCUCUUCAGGAACUCUUAUCGAAAUGAUUCACACAGACUUUGGUUCACAAAACAGAGUUUAAUUCAUAGUGAAGUUUUAAAAUAUAUCUUUUCAAUUUUCAUUAUAGUCAUCUGGCAUAUCCACUAAAAAAAAAUUAGAAAGAAUAAAUCAUACUUAAGGGACUUGACCAGUUUGCAAAGUUAAAAUGAUUCUGUUAAAUAUAAUCAGAUUUUCAGUUGCACAAAAAAAUGUCAUUUUUUUUUCAUAUCCAAGCUGGAACACUAAUAAAUUUAAUAUAGUGUUUUAGAAGUAAUAAAAUGUUUAAACAGUUAAACAAUGUUGACAAGUAGAUGAUCAGGUAAGUUGCUUGUUGUAAUAUAUGUGAACUAAUUCAGAAUUUAAGCCUAAUAUUUCUACUAUAUUUUGUUUCUCAAAUUGUUGAUAUAAAUGUACAAUGAAGAUUUACUAUAAGAAACACGCACAAUAUGGGAGAGUUUUGUUAUACAAACUAGGAUACUGAAAUUGUUUUCUGUUUUCACAUUCAGUUUGUGAAUUGUUGGUGCACGUUUCAAUUUUUUAAAUGAUAAAUAAAACCUGAAUGAAGAAUGAGCAGUUUGUAUUUGUUUAGUUAUUGAUAUACAUGCACAUCCUGAAACACAAUAUUAUGUUAUUUCAUCAAGAAAUGUCAUAGGCUCUUAAAGUAUAAAUUAGUCAACAUCAAUUAAGAUUAAACUUUAAUAUUUAUAAGAAGAUGUGGUACGAUUACCAAUGAGACAACUAUCCACCAGAGACUAUAUGAUGUAGAGGUUAGCAACUAUAGGUCUUGUAUGGCCUUCAACAAUGAGCAAAACACCUACUUUAUAGCAAGCUAUAAAAAGUGC
rnacentral:lncRNA from 1 species